rnacentral:pre_miRNA from 1 species
AAAAGUGCUUACAGUGCAGGUAGCAGUCAACAUCUACUGCAGUGCAAGCACUUCUCGC